UGGCCAAUCGCCGCGCGGCUUGUUCCGGCGUGGUUGCGAGAGGGGAAGCGUCUCUGCUGCCCGGGCGGAAUCGCUUCUUUCUCCCCGCUUCCAGGCGGCGGCGGCAGCGGCGGCGAAGACUCUCCCUCGCCGUCCUUUUCUGCGUACGCUGCUCAACCCUCUUCCGCAUACAUGGCGCUUCGCUUCAGGAGCGGCCGGAGGGGCCAAUUCAAACAUAUAGCUCAUGGCCUGAUCCCUGCAGCUACCAUAGCACCUAAAGCUGCCGUCCCCCGCACCCCUCCCCCUCGUAGUCCAAACCCUUCUCCAGAAAGGCCCAGCAGCAUCUUCUAGCAAAUUUAUACAAUCAGGGCUGAAAAUCCGCUCUGGCCGCAGCUAUU